ensembl:misc_RNA 7SK 7SK RNA
GGUUGUAAGGGCGAUCUGGCUGUCUCGUUGGUUGACGGGAUUGAUUUGACUGAGCUGGCUGACAGCUGUCCCCUUGUCCCCUUACCACUCCAUGUGUGUCCCUCUUGAAGCUACUUUAUUAUCUUCAAUUAGUUGAAGAGGAUGACCUUCCCUGAGAGAAGGGAUGUUCUUUGGUCAAGACUGCAUCGGUUGGUGAAAUGAGUUGGACAUCAUUACCCUGGGUACAUGUAUGAUUGCACAAAUGGUGAACUCUACAU